rnacentral:rRNA from 1 species
UACGUAGGUCCCGAGCGUUGUCCGGAUUUAUUGGGUUUAAAGGGAGCGCAGGCGGCGCGUUAAGCCUGGUGUGAAAGCCCGCGGCCCAACCGCGGGACUGCAUUGGGAACUGGCGCGCUGGAGUGCCGGAGGGGUAGGCGGAAUUCCUAGUGUAGCGGUGAAAUGCGUAGAUAUUAGGAGGGACACCAGUGGCGAAGGCGGCCUACUGGACGGUGACUGACGCUGAGGCUCGAAAGCGUGGGGAGCAAACAGG